UUUGCACCUGCUGAAAAAAACAGACAAAGCUUUACCUUCGCUUCGUUUAUCGUUUGUAUUCUGCUGUUUUCAAAGCAAUCAUGGCGUGUCAGAGCUGCUAUAAUACACUUCCUUCUUGUUCAGAUUUGUGUAACCGCGAACGGGACCUUGUUUCUUUUUUGCAGAAUCAUCUGGUGCUUCCCGGACCCGUCGUCUGCCCCACGUGCAAGAAGGAUUGAUACCUUGCACGAGAAGACGCCCGACUUCGUUUUAGAUGCCAGCGUCAGGUGAAAGUACCGAAAACUAGGAAGACGUGCUCGUUCUCUGUUACAGCAAAGAAGCGGAACUUCUUCGAGGGAUCUCAUCUGGACGUCCCAACCGUGUGUCGAUUCAUUGCGCGCUGGCUCAUGGUUCACCAUCCGAAGAAGAGGUUUAUCAUGGAAGAGCUGCAAGUUUCGUCCAGGACCUUCGUCGACUGGAGCAGUUUCUGUCGAGAGGUAUGUAUGGAUUAUUUAACACGUCGUUUUGUUCUUUUAGGUGGAAAAGUAGUAACCGUUGAGAUCGACGAAGCGAAGAUCGGCAAGAGGAAGAGGAAGAAUCUUCGGAGGGUACGAGCGAGGCUCGGGCAACGUUUUCAUCGUUCCAGUUCCGGAUCGAACCACGGAUACCUUGCUUGAGCUUAUACGAGAGCACAUACGACCUGGCAACACUAUCAUUUCCGAUUGUUGGCGCUCUUACCAGUGUUUAGGUACCGAAGGCUUCCGUCACCUCACCGUUAACCACAGCUUGACCUUCGUGGAUCCCGACACAGGCGCGCACACCCAAAACAUCGAGAGGCUGUGGAGAGGAGGAGGAGAAAUUCCACGAUAUGGUCGCAGAGAGGCGCAUAUGUCAGGGUAUCUUGCGGAAUUCUUGUUUAAGCGUGCAGUUGUAACGAAGCACCCGGAAUUUCCCCAUUUAGUUUGCCGUUUACAAAGAACACCCGGUAUAGUAACGACUGGUUUGGGCUUCGUUACGCAAGAAGACCGCGAUAUUUUUGUAACCACCGAA